GGCUGUGAGGCGAGGCGGGGUUUGUGCGGGAGCGCGGGGGGAGCGGCGUUCGGUGCAGUGCGAGCAGCCGCUCCUAGGGGCCGAGUCAGGCCCUCCCAGCCCCUCGCAGCCAGUUUCCUGCGUUUGCGCCGCUCUCAGGCUGCCACCUAAUGCCCCGAAGGCUCGGCACGAAGCAGCGCUGUGAAGGAGCACAUUCCAGCCCGCCCUGAGAAGGAUCCUGGGUCGCCGCAGGGGCAGAUGCUGGGAGCGGCUCCAGGCCCUGCCCGCAGAGGCUGCCCUGCCCGGGGAAUCCCAGCUGGUCCAGUUAGAUCCGUAGCUCCGUCAGCAGGGAGGAUCCCCAGAGAGGGAUGCUGAAAGUUGGGGUUACAUUAUGAUGGGCUGAACGUGCCUGGUUACGCCUUCAGGGGCGCGCUGUAGGGCAGCCGAGCCGAAAUGAGAGGAGCCGAGGUGGUGCUGAGCCGCACGCCACAGAUUUCCGUGAGGACUGCCGGGGUGUUCCCUCACACUCCAGCUCAUACAUGCAUGCGGCUCGGAGGAGAAGUAACCCGGAGAUCGGCAAUCAGCUUGAUUAUCGUCAAGGGGAUCUCUCUUGUCUGUUGACCUUGUUUCAUAAGAGAUGCUUCAUGUGCCUAAAGGAGGAAUGAGCCAUGAGGAGAUGCAGUGGCUAAAGCCCUGCGUUGUGUAAGAGCUGUGAAAAACCCCGGCUUUGCACGCAUUCUAACCAUAAAGAAUGCUGUUAUUCGAGCCUCGGUCACUCUUAUUGUCACUUUGUCGCUGCCACUCAUUGAGGGAUAUAAUGUCUCAGUGAUGACAUUGCCUGACUGACGUUUCCUGUUUAUUUCUUUUUAAAUAACAAUACCAAGCACUCACAAAACAUUUUGCACUUUACAGCAAUAUCGAGUAUUAGCUAAUGAGCCUGCUCACACCCAAAUGAGCUAUAUGACACCAUUAUUACAUGCAGACGGUCAGAAUGACUUCCUCAGGGGUAUUGUGAGUCAGUGCCAGAGGUAGCAUUAUGCUCCUGGUCCUAUUUCACAUUCAUUCCAGCAGACUGUAGAGCUUUGCACACCUGGAAGGUUUGUAAAACCAUUAUGAAUUAUUAAUUGAUUCAUUUUGAUAGUUUAAUUGAUUACUGCAUCAUUUUAUUUGAUGUAAAAGGCUGCAGCUGUGAAAUUCAGUCACUUAUUCACUCAUAGGAUCCUAAAAUUGUCCAUUUUCAAAACUUGUAUUUGCAAUCCUGUGAUGUGCCAAGUGCCCACCCUUUUCAGUUGGUACAGGAAAACAUUCUCAUAAUCUGUUUUGAUGGAAGGAAAAGUAUAUUUUGGUGUGACUCUGUCAACUUUCAUUCUGCAUCUUGAGCUUGUGUUGAACCAUUUUUUUCUUUACACUGAAAGGAAUGAGAAGGAGGUGUCUCCAAACAAACUGUGGGCUAGAUAUGGAGAGGUGAAGGAAGUAGUGGGGGGCACCAUGAAUUCCAUAGGAAUUCCACUAAUUGACACAGACUCUUACUCACUCAAGACUGUCCUACAUGUCUGGAUUUAGAGAAAAAGAACAGACACAAGGAAAACGAAAAACCAAGGGAGUAUACAUUAGAAGGGGAUAUUACACAUUUUGGGAAGCCUGUACCUCCCAAGUGCCUCAGCCUAUGAAGAAAGAGAGAGGGAAAUUUGGCCAGAAAAUUAGGAUUAAAAGGAGGCUGCAUCCCCUAACAAUUUUGAGAGAUCCCAUGAGGAAUGAUCUCUUCCUUUAUUGAAAUAAAGUUACAGGACUCCUGUCUUCUUUUUGGACAUAAACCUCUGAUGUUUGUGCAUUAAUUUUCCUGACAACACCUUUGUUCAUGGACCCUUUGUAAACUCAAAUUUAAACAAUAAACUUAUUGAGGACUUA